UAUACCUUGUUAAAAUGUUGUAUACAUAUAAUACUCGCACGCGCGUUAUCACCAGAUGUUUCGGGAAAUAUUAAAAUACGCUAGAGAGAGCCGGUCACGACGACAAGUCGUACAGCAAUUAAUUUCUGUAUGAAAAAAAAAUACCCUCUAAGAUCGUAUCGCGACGUAUUCGAUCAUGCAGGUCACGUUAUUAUAGGGUAAUCGACUGCGCGGUGUACGGUUACGGUGUUUUUGUCGAACGGCGGUGCGCAUCCCCAGCAAUCGCCCGAAAAGAAUACAUCGUCCCGCAGUAUAGAAUUAUUUAAAACGUAGUGAAAAAAAA